rnacentral:misc_RNA from 1 species
AAUCAAAGAUUACCUUGGUGUUCUAAAUGAAGACUCAUUGCGGAAAAAUUUUGUGCUGGUGUAUGAGCUUCUUGAUGAAGUUGUUGAUUUUGGUUAUGUGCAAACAACGUCGACAGAAAUCUUAAAGUCUUACAUAUUUAAUGAGCCAAUUAUGAUUGACGCUGGCCGCUUGCCACCCCUUGGUCCUGCAGCCAUGUUCAUGCAAGGAUCCAAAAGAAUGCCAGGGACAGCAAUUACUAAAUCUGUUGUGGCAAAUGAACCUGGGGGGAGAAAGAGGGAGGAAAUUUUCGUGGAUAUAAUUGAAAAAAUCAGCAUUACUUUCAGCUCAAGUGGAUAUAUAUUGACUUCUGAAAUUGAUGGGACCAUUCAAAUGAAGAGUUAUCUUACUGGUAAUCCAGAAAUCAGAUUAGCUCUCAAUGAGGAUCUGGGCAUUGGAAGGGCCGGUGGGAGAUCAGCUUACGAUUAUGGAGGUUCGGCUGGGUCUGGAGCAGUAGUACUGGAUGAUUGCAAUUUCCAUGAAUCGGUGCAACUUGAUAGUUUUGAUGUGGACAGGACCUUGACUCUGGUUCCUCCGGAUGGUGAAUUUCCUGUCAUGAAU